rnacentral:rRNA from 1 species
AGCGAACGCUGGCGGCGUGCCUAACACAUGCAAGUCGAACGUGAAAGGGAGCAAUCCCAAGUAAAGUGGCGUACGGGUGAGUAACACGUAGGUAAUCUACCCCAGAAUCUGGAAUAACCGGCCGAAAGGCUGGCUAAUACUGGAUAGAGCGACGGAAUCCGUAAUUGGGUUUUUCGGGAAAGGGAGCCUGUAAAAAGGCCUUCGUUCUGGGAUGAGCCUGCGUCCCAUCAGCUAGUUGGUGAGGUAAAAGCUUACCCAGGCAAUGACGGGUAGCUGGUCUGAGAGGACGAUCAGCCACACUGGAACUGAAACACGGUCCAGACUCCUACGGGAGGCAGCAGUGGGGAAUCUUGCGCAAUGGACGAAAGUCUGACGCAGCAACGCCGCGUGAGUGAAGAAGGCCUUCGGGUUGUAAAGCUCUGUCGAGUGGGACGAAAAUGCUUGGAGUGCAAAGCUCCAGGAACUGACGGUACCACUAAAGGAAGCACCGGCUAACUCCGUG